UACGUAGGGGGCAAGCGUUGUCCGGAAUUAUUGGGCGUAAAGCGCGCGCAGGCGGCUCUUUAAGUCUGGUGUUUAAUCCCGAGGCUCAACUUCGGGUCGCACUGGAAACUGGGGAGCUUGAGUGCAGAAGAGGAGAGUGGAAUUCCACGUGUAGCGGUGAAAUGCGUAGAGAUGUGGAGGAACACCAGUGGCGAAAGCGGCUACCUGGCCCAUUCUUGACGCUGAGGCGCGAAAGCUAGGGGAGCAAACGGG
rnacentral:rRNA from 1 species